GGUAGAGCACUGUUUGGACGAGGGGCCCCUCUCGGGUUACCGAAUUCAGACAAACUCCGAAUGCCAAUUAAUUUAACUUGGGAGUCAGAACAUGGGUGAUAAGGUCCGUGUUCGAAAGGGAAACAGCCCAGACCACCAGCUAAGGUCCCAAAAUAUAUGUUAAGUGGAAAAGGAUGUGGCGUUGCCCAGACAACUAGGAUGUUGGCUUAGAAGCAGCCAUCAUUUAAAGAGUGCGUAAUAGCUCACUAGUCGAGUGACACUGCGCCGAAAAUGUACCGGGGCUAAACAUAUUACCGAAGCUGUGGAUUGUCCUUUGGACAAUGGUAGGAGAGCGUUCUAAGGGCGUUGAAGCAUGAUCGUAAGGACAUGUGGAGCGCUUAGAAGUGAGAAUGCCGGUGUGAGUAGCGAAAGACGGGUGAGAAUCCCGUCCACCGAUUGACUAAGGUUUCCAGAGGAAGGCUCGUCCGCUCUGGGUUAGUCGGGUCCUAAGCUGAGGCCGACAGGCGUAGGCGAUGGAUAACAGGUUGAUAUUCCUGUACCACCUAUA
rnacentral:rRNA from 1 species